GCUAGGAUCCCCAAUAGUUUCAAUGAGCGCAGCAACAUCACUUAUAUUUUCUUCUCUGAAACCCGAUUUAAAGCCUAAAUCCCAUGAUGGAGUUUGCAACCCAUUUCUGUUCACCAUUCUGUGUAUCACUCUUCCUUUCUUGCUCGACUUUCUCCAAAUUUUAGGAUAGAGCUCCUUCAAGGGUUGUGCUGUUUUCCAACUAUCUUCCCAAAAACGAACAUUCUUACCGCUCGGAUACAAUUUGGUUAGUCCCACUUUUCAAAAUUUUUGAUUGCUUAAGAAUAUUUUUCCAUAACCCACACCCUUGGAGUCUGGUUUGUUUGUGGAGCAGUCCAUGCCUCUUCAUCGCCUCCGCACUUCUCUUGGAUGAUUUUGCGCCAUAGACUAGAUUUCUCUCGGAUGAUUUUGCGCCAUUAAAUAUGUCUGUAGGUCUUUUUUAAGGUUUCGUCCAAUUAUUACAUACUAAUAAACUUUCUUGGUUUUCUUGUUCAUAACUGUUAUUCCUGUAUUUGCUUCAUCUUUCAAUACUGUGAGAACAUAUCAAUUCUCAAUGGCUUCAUGUUCAUAUCCUUUUCUACUGUAAGAGGCAGCCAAGAUUUGAUCCCAAGAGAUAAAUCUAUGGCUGUUUUUUGGAUAGCUAAAUCUUUUUUGAUACUGAAACGGUUCUCAUUCUCAAGCGCGGAAGAAAAAGCUCAAACCCUAGCAAAUAAAACCAAAAGUUCUAUCCAUCGUCUCCUUCUUCAUUUUCUAUCUUCACUUAUAUCAUAAUCAUUCAUAUUGGAUUCUCCGAAGUAUGAUUCAUUCCCGUCGUUGCCACUUCCACACCCAACAAUAGAGAGUCGAGACUAUAAAGAGCGCAAAAGAGACGAACAGAAAAUUGCAGGGAGAAAUCGUUUUCUUCUUCUUUCUGUCUUCGAACUAUGUUUCACCGUCGUUCUUAUAUUUUAUAUCCUUUAAGGUUUCCAAAAUUCAAGUUGAUGUUGGUUAUGAAUCACCCGAAAUUCACAAAGCUUUGUCAUUUGGUAAACCUUCGAGCUUUGAAACUGUUAAUGCCAAUUUCAUCAAUGGGGGUUUACUAAUGGGGAUUUGUAUCAACAAGCCCGCGCGAUGUUCAACGAAUGUACCGAGUGGUUGAUAGAAACCCACAAACCCACCUUUCACAAAGACGAUUUGGAGCCGUCAUAUUUAUGUGUUGAAUUAUUGGGGUUUAGCUAUAAAAGCUAAGAAACAGUAUGCUUGGAUUUGGUUUGCUGGAAUUCCUGAAGCUUAGAGGAGUUCAAGAGUGACUGCCUAUGAAGUUGAGUUCAUUGAAGACAGAAAUUGAUCUGGUGUUUACGGUGCUGAGGAUGUUGAACUUGAACCUCUUCGUAGAGCCAAUGAGAAUUUUCCAUAUACUACAAUCAAAAUAAGUCACUAAACUACAAUUAUAGCCAGUAUUAAUUUGUACUCGGACUUCAAAUAAUGUUGCACCUCCCGGUGGUAAGAAAAGGUUCACUCACUAACUCACCCUUUUCUUCUUUGUACAUGAAUUAUACUCAACAUAAAUAAACAAUAUCCAGUAUUAGCAUUAUAAAAAAAACUCAGCUUACCUUAACUUGUAAGGUUGCCACUGUAAUAUGAUCCAAUAUAUUUGUAGUGUGUAUCAACUUUUUCUA